rnacentral:rRNA from 1 species
UACGUAGGGUGCAAGCGUUUGUCCGGAUUUAUUGGGCGUAAAGAGCUCGUAGGCGGUUUGUCGCGUCGGAUGUGAAAACCCAGGGCUCAACCCUGGGCCUGCAUUCGAUACGGGCAGACUAGAGUAUGGCAGGGGAGACUGGAAUUCCUGGUGUAGCGGUGAAAUGCGCAGAUAUCAGGAGGAACACCGGUGGCGAAGGCGGGUCUCUGGGCCAAAACUGACGCUGAGGAGCGAAAGCGUGAGGAGCGAACAGG